rnacentral:rRNA from 1 species
GACGAACGCUGGCGGCGUGCUUAACACAUGCAAGUCGAGCGGAGCGGCGCACGGGUGAGUAACGCGUGAGUAACUGCCCCCCUCUCUGGGAUAACCGUUGGAAACGGCUGCUAAUACCGGAUAGUGGGGGAUGACUCGCGUCCUAUCAGCUUGUUGGUGGGGUAGUGGCCUACCAAGGCGACGACGGGUAGCCGGCCUGAGAGGGCGACCGGGCACAGUGGGCGGAGCUACGGCCCAAACUCCUACGGGGGGGAGCAGUGUGGGAUAUUGCACAAUGGGCGAUAGACUCAUGCAGCGACGCCGCGUGGGGGAUGAAGGCUGUCGGGUUGUAAACCUCUACGAAGUAACUAUGGGUAGGUGGAGAAGAAGCGCCGGCUAACUACGUGCCAGCAGCCGCGGUAAUUC